UACGUAGGGUGCGAGCGUUAAUCGGAAUUACUGGGCGUAAAGCGUGCGCAGGCGGUUCUAUAAGACAGAUGUGAAAUCCCCGGGCUUAACCUGGGAACUGCGUUUGUGACUGUAGGACUCGAGUGUGGCAGAGGGGGGUGGAAUUCCACGUGUAGCAGUGAAAUGCGUAGAGAUGUGGAGGAACACCGAUGGCGAAGGCAGCCCCCUGGGUUAACACUGACGCUCAUGCACGAAAGCGUGGGGAGCAAACAGG
rnacentral:rRNA from 1 species